AGAGUUUGAUCAUGGCUCAGGACGAACGCUGGCGGCGUGCUUAACACAUGCAAGUCGAGCGGAAAGGCCCUUCGGGGUACUCGAGCGGCGAACGGGUGAGUAACACGUGAGUAACCUGUCCUUGGCUUCGGGAUAACCCUCGGAAACGGGGGCUAAUACCGAAUAUGACUCUUACCCGCAUGGGUGGGGGUGGAAAGUUUUUUCGGCUAGGGGUGGACUCGCGGCCUAUCAGCUUGUUGGUGGGGUGAUGGCCUACCAAGGCGACGACGGGUAGCCGGCCUGAGAGGGCGACCGGCCACACUGGGACUGAGACACGGCCCAGACUCCUACGGGAGGCAGCAGUGGGGAAUAUUGCACAAUGGGCGGAAGCCUGAUGCAGCGACGCCGCGUGAGGGAUGACGGCCUUCGGGUUGUAAACCUCUUACAGCAGGGACGAAGCGUAAGUGACGGUACCUGCAGAAGAAGCGCCGGCCAACUACGUGCCAGCAGCCGCGGUA
rnacentral:rRNA from 1 species